UGAUUGACAGUUAGCUUGACCAAUUUGGAUUGAGGGGUGGAAUGCCAUCCUCCAAUCCACGGGCACCAUAGGAAAUGUAUAAAACUGAGUUUUGUAAAUAAACUCGUCCCUUUUUUCCUGCUUCGCUCACCAGCGUGUCCUCGUGUGGUUCUUUCCGUGUCCACUGUGACAUCUGGUGACCCUGACGCGUGUGGUAGGACUGUCUGGUCUUCUGUUUCCAGGAUGGAGGACCGGUCACAAGGUGACGGCGGCUUUGGCUCUACUGGGUCGCCUCAGGUCCACUGGACUGUUCUCCUGACCAAAGACCGUCCUGAGAUUGUGUGUACUGUGUCCAUGGCUGAUGCAACGCCGUCGGAGAUUCAACUUCGCAGCCUCCCAGAUACCGGGGCUAAUGUUACCAUUCUCUCCCUGGCGGCUUGGCCCCCGCAGUGACCUUUGAGCCUGGUACAGACACCUGUCGUGGGCUUAGGAGGAACGAAGCAGUGUUAUGUGAGCCAGAAUCCUGUGAUCAUCACCAACCCGGAGGGACAGACAACCAUGAUUUGGCCUUACGUUACGGAGACUGCUAAGAACCUCUGAGGGAGGAAUUUGAUUGGAGCUAUGCGAACAACGUUUCGCUACAAAGUGCUCUAGAGGGUUUUUCAGGGCAGAUCACUUAUCAUCUGCCCAGCCACAAGCUAUUGCAAGUGGCAAAAAAUACUCGAUUUUCAUUAUGACCCAAAAACAGCCAAGAGCCAGUGCAAGGAUCCACUGUCUUCACUGAUGGUUCAGGCAAAACAGGAAAAGCCAUUGUUACCUGGAAGGAUGGAUCCGAAUGGCAGAUUUUGGAAGGCCAUGAGGACAGGUCAGCCCAACUGGUUGAACUAAGGGCUGCCGUCAUGGCAUUCGAAAAAUUUUCUCAGACACCCUUCAAUCUGGUCACGGACUCAGCUUAUGUUGCCGACAUCGCACAGCGAUUAGGUUAUUCAAUUUUGAAGGAAGUCAAUAACCCUGCCUUGUUUCAUCUGCUGAAGACCUUGUGGUGUGCAAUUCAGUCCAGGGUUCAUCCCUAUUACGUUCUGCACGUUCGAAGUCACACAAAUUUGCCAGGCUUUGUAGUGGAAGGUAAUGCAAGGGCUGACAAGUUAGUUAACCCAGCGUGGGUUGCUCCUCAGCCUGACACACUCGCGCAGGCCAAGGCAUCGCAUGGGUUCUUCCACCAAAAUGCGCAUAUGCUGCAGAAGCAGUUUCACCUGACGGCCACUGAGGCUCGAGACAUUGUUGACUCUUGUGAUGACUGUCAUGCCCUUGGUGCGCCGUUGCCGGCAGGGGUUAACCCCAGGGGCCUUAAGGCCUUGGAGCUCUGGCAGGCUGAUGUCACCUAGGUCGCCGAGUUUGGCCGGCUCAAGUAUGUGCAUGUCACGAUGGACACAUUCUCCUCUGCAAUGUGGGCUUCGGCUCACACUGGGGAGAAGGCCCGCGAUGCCAUUGCCCACUGGAGGCAGGCCUUUGCUGUACUAGGCAUACCUUCUGUCGUGAAAACCGACAGUGGUCCUGCUUAUGCCUCUCAACAGGUACGGCAGUUCCUACAGUCAUGGGGUGUGAACCACAACUUGGCAUCCCUCAUUCUCCAACAGGACAAGCAAUUGUAGAGCAUGCUCAUGGUACUCUCAAGCACGUUCUCCAGAAGCAAAAACGGGGAAUGCAGGGUGAAACACCACACAGUCGCUUGGCCAAAGCAUUGUACGCCAUCAGUUACCUUACAGUUCCGCAGAACUCAAGUAACCCUUUGAUUGUAAACCACCUCCUCUCGUUGCAGGCUUCAGAUGACACGUGUCAGCCUCAAGCGAAGGUUCGGGUCCGGAAUUUAGUUACCAAACAAUGGGAAGGACCCUAUGACCUGAUCGUUAUGGGGCGUGGGUAUGAGUGUGUGUCCACAGAUACUGAGGCACGCUGGGUACCUUCAAAGUGUGUCCGUCCUGACCUGCGACAGCAGAGGCAGAAUCCGGCCGAUAGGCGAGAUGGAGGCCGUGACCAGACUGAAGGUCAUCAAAUGGAUGAAUCCUUGGGUGAUGACUCGGACGCAGAUGACGCGAGUGAUCGCUCUGAUGAUUCCUCCAUGGAUAAUCACUGAACUCUGUACAGGUUUUUUUCCAUUGUAAAAAUUGUUCAUUUUUCUUUUUAUCUUUUUUCUUUUUUUUAAGAUAAAAAGGUUGAGAUGUCACCCUGGUUUUGAAGACUUUUCUAAGCCUUCUGUAAUGCUCUUCAUAUUGGAGUCAGAAAUUUCACCUUAUCACACUUUCUACUAUAAACAAUGGCCAUGUUUUGCUAACUGUCUUUCAUUGUUUACAUAUUUCUAGGUGGGAAGAGAAAGGUGAUUGACAGUUAGCUUGACCAAUUUGGAUUGAGGGGUGGAAUGCCAUCCUCCAAUCCACGGGCACCAUAGGAAAUGUAUAAAACUGAGUUUUGUAAAUAAACUCGUCCCUUUUUUCCUGCUUCGCUCACCAGCAUGUCCUCAUGUGGUUCUUUCCAUGUCCACUGUGACAAAAGUUAAAAUAAAUUUUGUCAUGAGCUGCUCA